UACGGAGGGUGCAAGCGUUAUCCGGAUUCACUGGGUUUAAAGGGUGUGUAGGCGGACUUUUAAGUCCGUGGUGAAAUCUCCAGGCUUAACCUGGAAACUGCCAUGGAUACUAUUGGUCUUGAAUGCUGUUGAGGUGGGCGGAAUACAUCAUGUAGCGGUGAAAUGCUUAGAUAUGAUGUAGAACACCGAUUGCGAAGGCAGCUCACUAAGCAGAUAUUGACACUGAGGCACGAAAGCGUGGGGAUCAAACAGG
rnacentral:rRNA from 1 species